GCCUGGUACCAGACUAUAUAAGGACGUGGACAUCAAUAUCCAGGCGUACUUACUUUCGUCGCUUACUUUCAACCUUCCUGAUUUCAAAACAAGAAACAAUAUAAACCACCGAAAUGAAUCCAUCACUGAACGAAUUCCAUCAAGUUAGACGUAAGACAACACCAAAGGAAUCAGGAAGGUCAAGCGAAACCCUUUCAGCUAUACCGAACAAGUUACACCUUGACAGAGUUAACAAUAUGAUCGUUGGUCCUGGUAACAUAAAUAUAAUUAACAACUACUAUUUUAAAGAUAAAGACAUGAUCGCUGCUAUAGACAUGGAGUCACAUCAACAGUCUUUAGAGUGUAUUGAAAGAGUUCAUCUUUGUAGACAAAUUGAUGUCACCAGUGUGAAAAACAUGAUCACAGAUAGAGGAACAAUUAAUGUCACCAACAACAUUUUAAUCACUGUCAAUGAUUCACUGAAUCAAGUACAGAGCCAGAGAGCUAUUGGUCGAGGAGAUUACAGCUGCUUAAAAAGAUUUUAUGACAGAGCUAGAAGUAUAGCUGAAUAUAUAGGCGACACAUUUCGAUAAUCCCAACUAAGGGAUUGUCGUCUAUAUAAAAAAAAAGGGGACGGGGUCUAAUGACUCUCAAGCUUGCCUCCUCGUGGUGGACCCUGGGUGAAACUGUGCUGUGCUAGCGGUCGGUUUCAGCGAAAUAAGCUUGAGGACAACGUACAUCGCUUCAGUGCUGAAGGUAAUUAGAGCAGCAAAACAAAAAGACGAAAACAGUUUCCGAACAUUAAACUUGAGGAGUUGUAACGUGGCUAAGAUAAGUAUUACCGCAUUUAUUUGAUUUGUAUACCUACCAAAACAUUAAUAAAUUGAAAAAUUAACCGAUUAAUUUUAUUAUUAAUUUAAUACCAAUUAAUAUUUGGUAAUUCAUUACUGUGUUUGAUUUUGAAUAAGGGGAAUAACUUCUACAUUAUUGAUCUAUCUAUCUAUCUAUCUAUCUAUCUAUCUAUCUAUCUAUCUAAUUUAUCAAUAUCUAUAUUUAUAUGCAUAUAUAUAUUUAAAUAUGUGUGUAUGUGUGUGUGUGUGCGCGGAGUUCUUCCCCUGUUAGAAGCCUUGUAUUUUUUUUUAAGUUUUUUUUUUCAGUAUUCUGCUUUUUUUGGUAUAAUUCCUGCUAUUAGCUUGCACUUUUUCAUAUGUGUGGGAGGAGGAAUCUAAAAAGUUUAAUGAAAAAAAAUCUUUAAUACAUAUUAGGUUAUUCGUUUAUACCUCUGUAUAUCAAAAACGACUCCAACGAUUUUUAUAGAAUUUGACUGUUUAUGCCAGGAGUGGGCAACCUUUUUCUUACGAGGGCCACAUUUAAGAUAUUUUAGGAAUGGGGGGGGGGGCGCAAGUAUCUUUAUAUAUAUAAAUUUUAUAUGUUUACGAAUUAGAAAAAUACUCUAGCUAAUUGAGAAUAAUGCCUUUAAUUUAAAUUUACUUAGAAAUAUUUUUAUGUAUUUGAAUUUGUUUAUGUAUAAACUGUAAUGUAAUGUAAUGUUCCCCUUUCUGACCUUGUGGUCUAUAUGGCAGAUGAUGUAAAGGUUAUCUGUUUCUGUGGCCAACGGUUAACGAGGGUGUCAUGUGGCCAGCACAACGACCAACCGCCUUUACUUUUCCCUAACUAAUGUCAGGUACCCAUUAGAGCUGGGUGGACUCAGAGGCGCCCGAAGAUCCCGAAAUUAAAAAUCCCUGUCUUCACCAGGAUUCGAACCCAGGUCAAGCGCUUUACCGCUCAGCCACCGCGCCUCCCAUGUAUAAACUGUGAGCAACCUAAUUUAUGUAGGGAAUUUGUUUGUUUCCAAAUCUUCCCUGAACUGCCUGUGGUGAAGACCUCUAGCUCUGAUAAGUUUGAUCACUCAGAUAAUGGGGUCAAUAAAUGUUUUAUUUUCAACGCAGUUUAGAGUCUAUAAUUGGGUUAGUUUAUGAUUGGGAUAUUAUUCUUUAAUUUAAUAUAUUGUUCUCAGUCUAAGCACGGACUACAUCAGUUGCUACACUUGCCGUUUGUUUCAUGACAACACUUUCAACACAGUUCUUCAUAGUAUCGAAUAAAUACUGGCCUGAGUUUGUGUCUUUGACCGAAUGUUUUGAAAUAAGAAUAAUUUUCGUUUACUUUAAACUUUUGAGAAUGACUUGUAGGGAAAAUGUUUCUUUAGCGCCUUUUCAUCAUAAGUGAUAAGAGUCGUAAGUCUCAAUAAUUGAUAUAGAUAUUUAUAAUUAUUUAUUUCUAAUAUAUUUGCAUUUUAUAAUAUGUCAGCACACCUGAUUUCUGUAGGUGUUCGCGGGCCGCAUAAAACGCUUCGGUGGGCCGCAUGUUGCCCGCGGGCCGCAAUUAGCCCACCCCUGGUUUAUGCAUAUGUUUGGUGGAAAAAUCACUGGCUGACUUGCCACACUGUGAUAGCUCUGAUUUGAACUCUAUAAUUAAAUUAAAAUCAAAUAUGACUUACGUCCCUUUUAUCAAUGAAAUUGGUCUGAUUGACAUACCAAAAAAAAAUAUUGUUUUUUGAAAUGACACACUAUGUCCCAUAUGAAGAAUCAAGAAGAAAUAAAUUGAAAGUAACGAGUGAGCCUUAACGAUGUCAUGGUACACAUUGUAAUGACUGAAAUCUAAUUUAGAUCACUAGAGAUGCUUUUAGAACAAUAUGCAUACAAAAUGAGAGAAUUUUACCAAGAGAAUUUGAUGAAUUACAGAAAUGGGAAUCAAUUGGAGCAUGUCUUUCCACCCAGAAAAAUUUCAGUUAUUAAGAGUAACAAAAAAAACUAAAACAAAUUAAUUCCACGUAUCUUAUUCAUGGUAAACCAGUAACACAGACUAGAAACGCAAAAUACCUAGGUGUUAUAAUAAAUGAAAAACUGUCUUGGAAUCCCCAUAUUGAUGAAACUAUUUUAAAAAAUCAAACAAAGCAUUAGGGAUUUACUAGAAGAAAUUUCUAUAAAUCAAAUAAGAACAUAAAACUAAAAUGUUAUUUAACCUUGGUUAGGCCAAUAAUAGAAUAUGCAUCCUCUGUUUGAGACCCAUCAACUCAAGAAAACAUUAAGAAACUGGAACAGACACAAAAUAGAGCAGUAAGAUUCAUAACAGGCGAAUAUUCACAUUUGACUAGAGUAACACCUUUAGUAAAAUCACUAAAUUUAGAAAAAGUCUUCAGGAGAGAAGACUUAAAAAUAAAGUAGCAAUUAUACAUAAAACACUGAACCAUAAUCUUCAAAUACAAAAACAAAAGUUAAUAAAAUACUCUGAAAGACACAAAGUUAAAUACACAUUCCUCGUUCCAUAUGCUAGGACAAAUUUGUACAAAAGCUCCUUCUUCCCUAGCGCUAUUAGAGCAUGGAAUGGGUUGCCUGAACUAGACAGGAAAAUCAGUGACUUGGCAGAUAUAUAGUCUAUGGUUAAUAUGCAUGACUAAAUGCAUGAAGCGUAGGACGUUAUCAUCUUCUUUUUUGAAGUAACGUCUGUAUUAUAUAGGAUAAGAUAAGAUAAUGAAAAUAAAAAAAACUAAAAAUAUUUACAAAUAAAAAUGUGCAGUACAGUACAUUAGUAACUAAUAUACACAGGUAUUUUUUCCCCAUAUGAACUGCAGAUCAGGUAUGUUCCUAACAAAUAACAAAGUUUUAUGAUUGGCGAGUUGAAACUUAAUAGGAUAGCUACUAGUUCACGUGGGUGUUUUCGUAUCUACAGAAGUAAUGUAAGCUAUAGGAUAGUCCUUAACCUAUCCAGCUAGAAUACGUAAGACUGCCUAUCAGAGACGGGCAUAUUCUUGGUAAAUGAGUAUUUUAAACUGCUUCGGAAAUUCGCUUUACCACGCGCUGAUACUCAACGAAUCUUACAAAUUUACAACUUACAAAUUAUGAGAAACAACAUUUUUAUUUUGUCAUUCUUGAAAACAGUGGCGUAGCUAGGGUGGGGAGGAGGGGAGAAUUUAAAAAUCCCCCACUUGAGGGAUGCCCCCAAAUGAGUGUUUUUACAUUAAAAAUUAAAUAUUACGCGAAAUACAGGUGCCCCAAAAGAGGUCAAGCCCCUCCGGGCCCCAAACGAUGGAAAAUUUCUAGCUACGCCCCUGCUUAAAAAGGAUAAAAUGAGAAAUAUUUGUUUUACAUUUAAUAUAUACUAUAUAGAAUUCAGAAUUCACUUAUCAUAGUCAAGCUUAAUUAGCAUACAUGUUUUUUAAACAAUGAACGCAAAUUAUUUUAUUUUCUACUACGUUCAUUCGACGAAACUAUUCAUUUUCUACUUCAUCUGCAGAAACUAAAGAAAUCACAUUUGUAAAGCCUAUACAAAAUGAGAGUAACACAUUUCCAGAGCAGAACCUAAAGAAAUCUAAUGUUCAAGACCUACAGAAACUAAAAGAAACCCCAGAGCCUUAAGAAAGUAAAAGAUACAUGGUCAGGGCCCACAGAAACUGAAGGAAAAAUGCGACAAAACAAAAUGUAAUAAAUAUAUUAGAACUAAUUUCUAUUGAUUGUGAUUGACGCUAAACUAAAUUUGAAAUAUUUUUUUCA